AUGCACCAUCAAUACUUUAGCCAAGAGUUUGCGCACAGGCAAGCCUUUUACUGCUUACUGCUUGUGCCUGACUUCUGUUGUUGGAUAACAGACCAUUUGAUACAUGCACGUCAGUCCCACAUUUACCAAAAAGUCCUCUUUUAUUCUGAUCUUAUGCUUGGAUGCACAGAGAGGUGGACCAUAGGAAGAAGAAGCUUGCUUGGUGAUAUCAUGGCUUACACUUUCCAAGCACCUUUAAACAAAUUUGAUAUGAGAUCCCUUCUGGAACCAUUCAUUCUAAUUCAAACAGGUUUGCAACAGGUCAGCACUGGUGAGCAUGAAUGUAGAGAGUCUCAUGUAAGCUAGCUGUUCAAAAAUAUUCUUUAUUUUCCACAGCAUGGAAACUAUUGGCUUUCGGUUCUCCUCUCAUUCAAAAUAUUAAAAUGCUGGAUAUGUAAGAAGAAGGUGAUUCAGUCUUAUUUAAGUCAAAUAUCUUGAAAAAUUCCAGUAUUUUAUGGAAAAUUUAAUAUAAAAUCCCUACAGAAAUAAUGGGAAAAAUAUUAGCACAAAGACUGUUCAGUCAUUCAACAUUUAUUCAUCAGCAACAUAAAAAUAUGCUUGGGCUAAUGACAAAUUUCACAAUUGCCAUUUCUUCUGCUAAUCUGAGAUAAAUGUUCGUAUUUUUCUUGCAAACAAGAUAAUUACAGUAACGCUCUUACUCUUGAGCAGGGCAAUCCAUCAGGUAGCCUCUCUUCUGAAAGCCAGAUAUUAAUAGAGAGUAGUUACUUAAAAGCUCUUCAAGAUGAAAUAUGUUUGAAAUUAUAUAAAAGGUCUGUGUACCUAUGUGAACUCUUCUGCUAAACAACAGGCUUCUCGGGCACAUUAAGUUGAGCACACAUAAGUUGAGUUGGUGCGUUAUGUAGUGCAGUUGGGUUGGAAGGGUAGAAAUUUGUUCCUGAUGUAUCAUUGAAGCUUAAAAUAAGGGCUGGUUUGCUGGUGAUUGGAAACUAUUUCACUUGUGCAAGCAGCACUUGAAAAAUAUCUUUCUUUGGAUUUAAGAACUGUGAAGUUCAUCUUAUUGGUGUAACCAUGUAACUUAUUGUAAAAUCAUCAGCUUGCUUUUUAAAAAGUCACUGAUUACAGAUAGUGUUGUGAGUAGGUUCAGAUACAGCUUCAGCCACAAAUGCGGUUAUGGGGUAGGCAUCUAUGGCUGUACACAUGCUUCAGGGAUAUUUGAGCUGAACAGUGACUCGUAUGUGCCUUAUCAGAGAAGAGCAGUUGAAGAUUUGAGAGAAUCUUAGUAUUUUAGAUCAAAUGCUCUUCCUUCCUGAAGAGCCGGAGCUCUUCCCAAAGAAGAGAGCAACGGAAAGGGUGUCCCAGAGAGAGCAAACCAUGUCACGAGUCCACAUCUCAGCACAGAUCUCAUCUAGGCAACACAAAGGACUGCCAAAACCAGAAGCUUUGUGAUGACUGACACAGCACGUUACCCUGGCACGGGCAUGAACAGCAACUGCCUCCUUGCGACUACUGAGGUAACAACUAAAAGUACAAAUAUGAUACCCUUUUCCUUCAAAUCUGGAAACCUUCUAAAAUAUUCCAACCUCCUGAAAGUCCAGACUGCUUUUCAACAGUCAUAGAUUUUUUCUUCCAUGGGUAAAAGAGUUACUGAGAACAUUCCCUCUUCUUUGGAUUCCUACGGAUCAGAGGAUCUAGAGCUAAAAUUGUGAUAUAAAAAGCAAAUUAAAUUCAAACAGGACACCCUGUCUUUUAUCUCAGCAGUUAUUCCCGUUCUGUUAACUUAUUUAUAAAGCUUCGGUGUAAUUUGUGUAGGAAAUACUUCUACUAUUGUGAAACAGCCCACUAGUAUCAUACACACUUCUUUUUGAGUACCGGUAACUUUCUUGAUUGUUUCCUCUCCAGCUUCCACAGACUUGGUACAGAAAGGAGAUGGCUUAAAUUUAAUGAAAUUCUAGCCAUCCAAAAUACCUAUAUUCAAAUACCAAUAACUUAAGCAUGAAUGUAUACUAAUAGCCCAUCUCCCCAGCUGGUGUCACAUCAGUGGAAGUCAAAAUACACUGCAAAGGUGUGGAUUGCUCUGAAGAGCCAACUUCCAAAUGAAUGAUCCUACACUCCACUGAUCCACAGAUCGGAUAUGACAAUCCUAGGUAGGAUCAGCUCCCUCAAUAAGCUGUGUUGCUUCCUUCCUAGAACUUUGUAGUGGUGCAAAGUUUUCUUCUGCUAAAACUAAUCCCCUCAGCCCAGACGCAGCAAUUUUUUUCUUCAUGUACAGAAUGAGCUCUUGAAUCAGUUGAGUGGGACUUUGAUGACUAGGGAGUCCAGCCAAAUCAUAUUCGGUAUCAAAAGGAAGUUUCCUAACACAUUCCUUCUUCAGAAGGACACCCAGCAUUACAUCUGGUGCUUGGUGGGUGAGGCAAGAGAUAGCAAGAGAGGUACUUAGACAAUCCGUGAUUUAAAACUCAGAAAACGCACCGUUUGUUAAACUUGGGUAACCACUUACGCUACCUAGAUCUUAGUGCUCCCUCUGUAAAUUGAUGAUAACAUUAAGUGACCUCAUAGAAAAUGUAUAUGACUAAAUGCAUCCUUGUUUGAGACGCUGAUGUGCUUGCUAAUGAUGCAGUCUGUGCCAAUACAGAAAAGAGGAAGAAAUUCACUGCUAGGCAGCUCAGUCCUAUACCUAAUGCUUAAUAUUGUUGCACCCACACGUAGUCUUUAUAUUUACACUAGAAGGCAACAGCCUUGUGAUGGUCAAGAUGAGAAAUGACUGAGGUUUAGCCAAUUUCAACAAUGGAUCUAGAAAGAGAAAGAAGAAACUACUGUCCUGGGCUACUCCAAAUAAUUCCUCUCCCUGGUUGUAAGUGAUAAAUGCCAUAAUAAAAGUUGCUGGGGUGUUCUCCUCUCA
ensembl:lncRNA